GACAGCUGGGCGGGGCCGGGGAGGGCAGGGCCGCCCGGAAGUCCUGACCUGCAGGUGGCGCCGGCCGGAGGCUGGGGCGUUGCUGCCACCAGUGGGCGGGGCAGCGGGGCAGCGGGGCGGGGGCACCCUCACCUGUCCGUGUGUGGGGAUCAGCCUGGGCUCCGUGGCCUCCGCUUGCACCGGACGUGGACCCAGGCUACCGGUGGGCAAGAUAGAGGACUGAGCCCAGGCACGCACGGCUGGCCAGGUAGGGCACCUGAAGUGCAGAUCCGCCAGGCCCGCUGCCGGCCUUGAAUACGCGCUGCUAGGCAGUUUCCAAGAAGACGGGAUCUGUCAUAAGAGGGGAGGUGGGAUCCCCACCCCCGCUCAGCCUUCUUUCUGCAUGGAUGCUGAAGGACCAGGCUCACUUGAAGUUCUGAGUUUGAGCAGUAAGGUGGAAACAAAGAAACCAAUGGAAACAAAGAAACAAGUCAUUGUGGCAAAGCUCCCCACCACAGAGAAGCUGCCCUGAGUGGAAGGGAGGGUGUGGGCAUGCCCAUUUGUUUCGUGUCUCCCAGUGCUCUUCGCUUUCUUAUUGCAGACCUGCAUGGUUACAACAAAAUGAUCUGCAAAACUGAAAAUAUUUACUCUCUGGCUUUUACAGAAAAGGCUGACCAGCCUCUGGUUCCCGUACCGGUCAACUGAUUGGAGUACCUUUCCAGUUUGGAAACAUCUGGGCAGGCCCAGCUGGUAAGUUUACUUUUCUACUUUGACCAAGCAAACUGAAGCCAACAGAAGAGAACUUUCACCAGCAACUCCCAGCACAUCCGCUCGCCUUCUGAUGUCUGUGACCUCACUCUCGCUGCCCCACCUCUUAUUACAGGUGACAUCGAAAGCCAGAUCAUCCAAAAGUCACCAGGGGGCCCAUCCAUACAAUCUUCUCCGGGCUGUCACUCCCACAUCCAUCCUCUCUGUCACUACCUCAUCUAUUUUGUUCUCCUGCUAGUUGGCUCCUAUCAGUAUAUAAAAGUCCAUCCUCUUAAAAGAAACAAACAGCACUCCUUGACUCUAAUUGGCCCCCACCAAUUGCCACCCCAUGUCUUUGCAGCAAAUCUUUAAUGAGUCGUUUAAACUCACUGUCUGCAUAUUCUCUUGAGCCAUUCCCUUUGGCACCCACUCUGGCUUUCCCCCUGAUCCCUCGCUCUAUGGAAACUGCUCUGUCAAGGCCAUCAGUGACCCCACGUUGCUAAAUAUAGUGGUCAGUUUUUAGUCUUCAUCAUGCGUGGCCCUUUGGCAGCAUUUGACCCAGCUCUUCCAUUUCUCCUCCCCCGUGUUCCUGCUUCACUUGGCCUCCAGCCCAUCGCUCUGCUUUCGAUCCACUGGCUGGUCUUUUGCCAACGUCUCCUCUUUUUUCCAAAUAUUUACUGCGAAUGUGCCUCGGAGUUGGGUCCUGGGUCUCUCCUCUAUCUCACUGCUAUACUUUUGGUGGAAGCAACCAGACUUGGAAAUUGACAUGCCAUCAAUUUCUCGAUUUGUCCAAAACUCCCUGAUUGGCCUUUUCCAUUUGGAACUCUCUCCCUGAUACUCAUAUUCUUUUUCUUUCAUUCAUCUUGCUUUCACAUUCAUACAUAUGUUCUACUGUGUAAAUUACUUUUCCAAAUUUUGAAUCAGUCCAUACAUAUCAUGUGAAAUGCUCAGAUCUCUAUUAUUUCCACUAAGAUGCUUAUUCUACCUUAGAACCUUUCUGCAUUUCUGUAUUUAUGUCAAUAAAGUGAAUAGUAUUUCUACAAGCCUCAUAGUUAAACAGUGUGUUUGUUUGGGGCUACUAUGUAACAUGAAAUAAUGAUACAUCAACAUAGUCCUUUUUCAUUUAAUUUUAUGUAACACCAAGAUGAGGUUUUUGCACUGAAGACUGUUUCAUUGAAAUUUUACCUACGUUAUGGACAGUCAGUUUAUGUGAAAGCCCUCAUUUCUCCCCUUUUCUGAUAUAUUUUCCAUUUGGCUAUUAUAACAUAUACCUUGGCAUGAAAUAAAAUUCCAAAUCCAUUCACAUAAUAAAAUUAAUACAUUUAAAUUAUAUUUUUUAAUGUUAAAAAGAAAGAAAAAAAA